UGUGCCUGAAAUCAUAAAAUGGCAGAGCCAGGAAGAGAGAUGAUCUAAUGUAACUUGUCAUUUUGCCAAAGGAGGAAACUGAGGUCCAGAGUGAGGAAGACACUUACAUAGAGUUUAUCAAGGGAGUGACAAAGCCAGGACUAGAUCUCAGAUGCCGUUUAUGUAUGACAAACUGUUUCCUCAACCCAGUUACGAUCUUCAGGAGUACAGAAGCUGAUCCAGAUGUAGCCCAAGAUUGCAAAAAGCAGAAAGGUGCAAAGGAUGGAACGCUGUCCCUAGGAUGAGGAGAUUUGGGUUUGAAUUCUGC